rnacentral:rRNA from 1 species
GAUGAACGCUGGCGGCGUGCCUAAUACAUGCCAGUCGAGCGAACAGACGAGGAGCUUGCUCCUCUGACGUUAGCGGCGGACGGGUGAGUAACACGUGGAUAACCUACCUAUAAGACUGGGAUAACUUCGGGAAACCGGAGCUAAUACCGGAUAAUAUAUUGAACCGCAUGGUUCAAUAGUGAAAGACGGUUUUGCUGUCACUUAUAGAUGGAUCCGCGCCGCAGUAGCUAGUUGGUAAGGUAACGGCUUACCAAGGCGACGAUGCGUAGCCGACCUGAGAGAGUGAUCGGCCACACUGGAACUGAGACACGGUCCAGACUCCUACGGGAGGCAGCAGUAGGGAAUCUUCCGCAAUGGGCGAAAGCCUGACGGAGCAACGCCGCGUGAGUGAUGAAGGUCUUCGGAUCGUAAAACUCUGUUAUUAGGGAAGAACAAAUGUGUAAGUAACUAUGCACGUCUUGACGGUACCUAAUCAGAAAGCCACGGCUAACUACGUG